rnacentral:tRNA from 1 species
GGGGCUAUAGCUCAACUGGCAGAGCACUUGUAUGGCAUACAAGAGGUCAGCGGUUCAAUUCCGCUUAGCUCCA